UUUAAUAAUAAUAAAUAAAAGGAGUAUGUGUGUUCUACAGUUCUGCAAACUGUCAAAAUUAUGUUCAUCUUUGUGAUUUCGGUUUGGAUCUGGGUGCUUCUGGCUGUUUCUGGAGUUCAGGUUCAAGUUAACCAUGGAGGUGACUCAUCCUUUAUUUCCGUGAGGUUAUUUGUGUCACAUGUUACUGUUGCUUUAAUCUUUGACAUACUGUGCAAGUUGUUGAAUUUCCUGAGUUUGUUUUCUGCUCCUGAGUUUGAAUUUCCCCGAAAUGCGCCCUCGUGGUUGCUGCCACACCGCCGUUGCUCUAUCCGUUGAUGCGGUUACGGGUUAAAUAGUCGUGGAUUUUAUCGUCGUAGUUUGACGCCAUGUAGUUUCACACGCCUCCCUUUUUCUAUUUGGAGUAUACAGUUGCAGAGGAUUUAUAAGUGUGUGGAUCAUAUGUACUCUUUUUAUGAUGGAUCUCUGACCAUGCAAUUUCUGGGCGUCACAGAGAAGCCAAGAAGGACGAGAUUGUCAAGUCAGCGAUCGAGGUGCAGACAGGUUGCUCAUUCAGUUCAGCAAUUGUGUGGAUGUAUUUUUUUGGAUGAAAAUUGCAUUCUCUGUUGGGCACUGAUUCAGAUAUAUUAAUAUUGGGGAAGUCUCUCAUAUACUGCUCGAGGUCGGGAAGGUGCGGAGGCUGCUAGAGGAAGUGUUGGAGGCCGAGCGCAGCAGCAAUAAUGAUCUGCUACUGGUGCUGGACCAGGCCAAGAUUGAUGAGUUGAAGGCGAGAACAAACUACUACACUACCCAGCAACUUAUACAGGUGCAUUUCCUAUAUUUUUACAAUAACAUGACCUGCCAGUUAUGCAGAGUUGUACUGGUUAGUAGUUAGUGUAUGAAAAAUAAGCAUGAUUUAUGCUCCCUUUUUCACCUUCCUGAAAACAGUACAUGUUGUAUGUGUUGAUGACGCUUUCAUAGUGGUGAUACAGAGAUAUGGUCUUGACCCUACUCAAGCUUGUCCACACCGAUGUCACGGUAGCUGCUUCUGCAAGUCUCUUGUCAUCUUCUUCGCCGCCGGCUCGGUCACCACAUCCGCUUCCCACAGCUGCGGACGUCGAUAAGGAGGUGGUGGGUGACAUGGGCAAAGAGUGCUUGGAGGUCAAUGUUGCUUGUCUGUGUGUCUGCCUAGAGAAUUUUCUGUUGUUUGAUUUGGUUUUAUAAGUCCAUAUUGCAUGUCUGCAUAGAGAAUCUCAUAAUAUGAUUGUUAUUAUUAUAUGUCUUACAGAAGUGCAUAGUUUCACUAUAUCAUAGUAUUAUAAAUGCAUGAGAGUUGAUCUGGGUAAGUGUCUGGCACUC